GGCUCGGUAGCGCAGUAGGCAGCGCGUCAGUCUCAUAAUCUGAAGGCCGUGUAGUUCGAUCCUCACCCGGGGCA